UACGUAGGUGGCAAGCGUUGUCCGGAAUUAUUGGGCGUAAAGAGCUCGUAGGCGGUUUGUCGCGUCUGCUGUGAAAACGCGAGGCUCAACCUCGCGCCUGCAGUGGGUACGGGCAGACUAGAGUGCGGUAGGGGAGAUUGGAAUUCCUGGUGUAGCGGUGGAAUGCGCAGAUAUCAGGAGGAACACCGAUGGCGAAGGCAGAUCUCUGGGCCGUAACUGACGCUGAGGAGCGAAAGCAUGGGGAGCGAACAGG
rnacentral:rRNA from 1 species